rnacentral:rRNA from 1 species
GAAGCAGUGAUGUGAAGCAAAUCGCACCAAAGCCAGUCUCAGUUCGGAUAAGAGGCUGAAACUCGCCUCUUUGAAGUCGGAAUCGCUAGUAAUCGCAGAUCAGCAUGUUGCGGUGAAUACGUUCCCGGGUCUUGUACACACCGCCCGUCAAACCAUGAGAGUCACCAACACCCGAAGUCCGUUUAGGCGGCCUAAGGUGGGGGAGAUGAUUGGGGUUAAGUCGUAACAAGGUAAC